GACGAACGCUGGCGGCGUGCUUAACACAUGCAAGUCGAACGAUGAACUGAGAGCUUGCUCUUGGGGAUUAGUGGCGAACGGGUGAGUAACACGUGAGUAACCUGCCCUGGACUCUGGGAUAACCCCGAGAAAUCGGAGCUAAUACCGGAUAGGACCUGGAACCGCAUGGUUUUGGGUGGAAAGUUUUUCGGUCUGGGAUG
rnacentral:rRNA from 1 species